AGAGUUGAUUAUGGCUCAGGAUGAACGCUAGCUACAGGCUUAACACAUGCAAGUCGAGGGGCAGCAUGAAAGUAGCUUGCUACUUUGAUGGCGACCGGCGCACGGGUGCGUAACGCGUAUCCAAUCUACCCAUGGCUCAGGGAUAGCCUUUCGAAAGAAAGAUUAAUACCUGAUGGUUUCGCUUUUUCCGCAUGGUUUGGCGAAUAAAGAUUUAUCGGCGAUGGAUGAGGAUGCGACUGAUUAGGUUGUUGGCGGGGUAACGGCCCACCAAGCCGACGAUCAGUAGGGGUUCUGAGAGGAAGGUCCCCCACAUUGGAACUGAGACACGGUCCAAACUCCUACGGGAGGCAGCAGUGAGGAAUAUUGGUCAAUGGACGAGAGUCUGAACCAGCCAAGUAGCGUGAAGGAUGACGGCCCUAUGGGUUGUAAACUUCUUUUGUUUGGGAAUAAAGUGCUCUACGUGUAGAGUUUUGUAUGUACCUUACGAAUAAGCAUCGGCUAAUUCCGUGCCAGCAGCCGC
rnacentral:rRNA from 1 species